UAGGGGUGAAAGGCCAAUCAAACCAGGCUAUAGCUGGUUCUCCCCGAAAUGUAUUUAGGUACAGCGUUAUGCGUUCAGUUGGGGGGGUAGAGCACUGAUAGGAUUAGGGGACCCACCAGUCUACCAAACCCUGUCAAACUCCGAAUACCCUAACUCUAGAGCAUGGCAGUGAGACUGUGGGGGAUAAGCUCCAUUGUCGAGAGGGAAACAGCCCAGACCGUCGUCUAAGGCCCCAAAGUUGAUACUAAGUGGUAAAGGAUGUGGGGGUGCUUAUACAACCAGGAUGUUGGCUUAGAAGCAGC
rnacentral:rRNA from 12 species